UGUUCUUGACAUUUUCCAUGGCUGCACUUCGAAGUUUGAGUUGAUAGUAAACAUGGGCCAGCCCCCUGGAAAUUGCCAAAUCAUUUCCCUUCUUUGGCAAAGAAGCGGUUUCGAAGUCGAGAUUAACAGAGAACGUAAGCGCAGACCUGAAAAAAACAAGGAGCACAGAAAAUGUUAUUGAAGUUUGGCAGCAACAGCCGUACAGAACUUUCAUGAGAAUCGCCCACAUAAGCACUGAAAUUUGAAGUUUGGAACCUGCCGACUGUUGGUCGUAAAUGUUUCUUUCUUCCUAGGGAUUACUAGCUAUCAUAUGUGAUUUCCUUUUCAUUUUUCGUUUU
rnacentral:misc_RNA from 1 species